GUGGCAAUAUUUUGUGAGAUCUCAAGGAAGAGACAACAAGCUUCUUUUUUGGCAACUCAAAAUAACGGUUUAUUUUGAAAUAUCUUAGAUCACAGCAAACAGUAAACAAACGUUGCACAAACACUUUCACCAAUGGGAAUACAGAACAGGGCAAAUAGAAGACACAGGAAAGAACGAUCUACAAAGUGAUUCAUUACACUAGUUCUCCACCCCCCACUAUGUGCAAGUCCACUCUGACAUCAAAUGGUUAUCUUCACUGGACCCACUGUCCCAUCAGAACAAUCUCUGGUUGCAUCCACACAGCCCUUUGUUUAGUAGAAACAUGUAGACAUGCUGGCUCAGCGGGUGGUCACUCACAGUAUGCACAAACUAUACAAACUAUACAGAGCUGCUGUCCCUCCUCCUCUGUUGACCCACAGCUGCAUUUUAGUUACGAAGAAAGGUUAACAAAAUUAAAUAAGUUUAGUUUAGAAAAUCUGAGAUGAUAGCAUUAUUCAAAUAUAUUUGGGGCCAAUAUAGACCUUUGUCUGUAAAUCUGUAAACAGGACAAUACAUAAGAACAAGGCCACGCAUUUAGACUGGAGGAAAGGAGAUUUAGUGUAAUAUACCUAUAUCACAUCAAAUAGGACUCAUGUCAGGCUUGGAACCAAGACCUAUUCCUCCAUUAGGAUACCUCGAGUCGGAUUAUGUAUUCUUUAAGAUAAGAACCAGCGCUUAUAUAUAUUAAUAUACAGGAUAGUAUAUCCAAAUUGAAUUAUAACAAGAAUUAGCUGCUAGACACUCAAGCAAAAAACCUUCCAAACUUGCAAAUAGAAUAUAUGAAAUACAAAAGAAUGUAGCGCUUAUGUUUAAAACAAUAAGUUAUCACCUUAUGGUAACAUUGAAGAGACGGAAAAACUUGAGCAAUCGAUGUGUCGAAUACCUACAACAACAAAUAAUCCAAUAUAGUGUAGAUGGUAUAAUACUACAAUAAUAUAUUACAAUAAAUUGGUAAAAUUCACUCACAAACAGGGAGCUAUAAACCUAGCUCCGGUUAAAAUGGCAUGCGGAUCCGUUUAGGCGAUCCUCCCCUAUUAUGAAGAUGGAAUGUAUCUUGUCCUGGGGGAUAAGCAGAAACGGAAAGCGAUUGCGCAGUAUCGUUGGUGUAUAAUCAAAGUGUAAUAAAAAUUCCCAAGUGGGUACUCACAAGGUUGGAGUCAAACCUAUGACUCAAUUCACACGUUCUGUGCAGUUUGGGACUGCACUCCCAUCUGUAAUGAAUAAAUCCAGGGGUCCAAAAACUAACUUCAAUUUAUUAAAACAAUAAAUAAAUAUAAAAUAACAUGUAUGCAAAACAAAAGAAGUGUGUACCUUUAAGGUAGGGAAAGGAUUAGCCAGGGCCUGAGACUACAACACCAAG